AUUGAACGCUGGCGGCAGGCCUAACACAUGCAAGUCGAGCGGAUGAAGGGAUCUUGCUCCUGGAUUCAGCGGCGGACGGGUGAGUAAUGCCUAGGAAUCUGCCUGGUAGUGGGGGAUAACGUCCGGAAACGGGCGCUAAUACCGCAUACGUCCUGAGGGAGAAAGUGGGGGAUCUUCGGACCUCACGCUAUCAGAUGAGCCUAGGUCGGAUUAGCUAGUUGGUGGGGUAAAGGCCUACCAAGGCGACGAUCCGUAACUGGUCUGAGAGGAUGAUCAGUCACACUGGAACUGAGACACGGUCCAGACUCCUACGGGAGGCGGCAGUGGGGAAUAUUGGACAAUGGGCGAAAGCCUGAUCCAGCCAUGCCGCGUGUGUGAAGAAGGUCUUCGGAUUGUAAAGCACUUUAAGUUGGGAGGAAGGGCAGUAAGUUAAUACCGUGCUGUUUUGACGUUACCAACAGAAUAAGCACCGGCUAACUUCGUG
rnacentral:rRNA from 1 species